rnacentral:rRNA from 1 species
CCUACGGGAGGCUGCAGUGGGGAAUAUUGCACAAUGGGCGCAAGCCUGAUGCAGCCAUGCCGCGUGUGUGAAGAAGGCCUUCGGGUUGUAAGGCACUUUCAGCGGGGAGGAAGGCGGUGAGGUUAAUAACCUCAUCGAUUGACGUUACCUGCAGAAGAAGCACCGGCUAACUCCGUGCCAGCAGCCGCGGUAAUACGGAGGGUGCAAGCGUUAAUCGGAAUUACUGGGCGUAAAGCGCACGCAGGCGGUCUGUCAAGUCGGAUGUGAAAUCCCCGGGCUCAACCUGGGAACUGCAUUCGAAACUGGCAGGCUAGAGUCUUGUAGAGGGGGGUAGGAUUCCAGGUGUAGCGGUGAAAUGCGUAGAGAUCUGGAGGAAUACCGGUGGCGAAGGCGGCCCCCUGGACAAAGACUGACGCUCAGGUGCGAAAGUGUGGGGAGCAAACAGGAUUAGAUACCCCGGUAGUC